UACGUAGGGGGCAAGCGUUGUCCGGAAUCAUUGGGCGUAAAGGGCGCGUAGGCGGAUCAUUAAGUCUGGUGUGAAAUAUAGGGGCUCAACCCCUAGACUGCAUCGGAAACUGGUGAUCUUGAGGACAGGAGAGGAAAGUGGAAUUCCACGUGUAGCGGUGAAAUGCGUAGAGAUGUGGAGGAACACCAGUGGCGAAGGCGACUUUCUGGACUGUAACUGACGCUGAGGCGCGAAAGCGUGGGGAGCAAACAGG
rnacentral:rRNA from 1 species